rnacentral:sRNA from 1 species
CCGGCGUGUCGACGUCUUGAUAAGAAGGUGUUGGGCUACAUAAAUAUUUUCAUAUUUAUACGAAUAAUUUAUUUACAUUUUACGGUUCUGUGUGUGUGUGUGUGUGUGUGUGUGUGUGUGUCUUUGCUCUGAAUUUCGACACUGUUUUGGGGUUGUGGCGAGGCAGUUCCCCCCUCCAAUGUCAACCCCAAUUCUCAUUUUGGAAUAGUUCAAGUCAGGCUCUCCGGC